AUGUUCUUCUUGAGUGAGGCUGAAAAGAAUCCAGUUGACAUGGAGGAAGCAGGGAAGGGUCUUGAUUGGGUUCAUUUAAAGGAGACAUACAUGGAAUAUUUGAAGCAGCUUCCUGAUAUCAGCUCCAGCAAGAGCAAGGCAGCAUCUCUGGCAAACCCUCAUGUGGUCCAGAAGAGCAAAGGAGUUACAAUGAAGAAGAAUCUGAAGUUGCCUCAAACCAAGCAACAGAUGCCGAGGGCAAAUGCAGAAAUAAAUGUGGACAAGGAAGCUGUGGCGCAAACUAUUGUGCCAACUGUAGUGAUCACAGAGCCAACCAACACUAAAGACGUGUCAGCAAUACCUGUUGAGCCUACAACCAUUACAUGA
rnacentral:rRNA from 1 species